AUUGAACGCUGGCGGCAUGCUUUACACAUGCAAGUCGAACGGCAGCGCGGGCUUCGGCCUGGCGGCGAGUGGCGAACGGGUGAGUAAUACAUCGGAACGUGCCCAGUAGUGGGGGAUAGCUCGGCGAAAGCCGGAUUAAUACCGCAUACGACCUGAGGGUGAAAGCGGGGGAUCUUCGGACCUCGCGCUAUUGGAGCGGCCGAUGGCAGAUUAGCUAGUUGGUGGGGUAAAGGCCUACCAAGGCGACGAUCUGUAGCUGGUCUGAGAGGACGACCAGCCACACUGGGACUGAGACACGGCCCAGACUCCUACGGGAGGCAGCAGUGGGGAAUUUUGGACAAUGGGCGAAAGCCUGAUCCAGCAAUGCCGCGUGUGUGAUGAAGGCCUUCGGGUUGUAAAGCACUUUUGGCGGGAACAAAAAGGACUGUGCCAAUACCACGGUUCGAUGACGGUACCCGCAGAAUAAGCACCGGCUAACUACGUG
rnacentral:rRNA from 1 species